rnacentral:rRNA from 1 species
AUGGCGAUGAGAGGAGUGCUGGUCGCCGUCGUGGUCGUGGCGGGGCUGCUCCUGCACGCCGCCAGCGUGGCCGAGGCGCAGACCCUCAGGGCUGGGUACUACAACCAGACGUGCAAUAGAGCCGAGAGCAUCGUGUUCGAGGAGGUCCAGAAGGCGUGGAAUGCGGACAGGAGCAUGCCAGCGGCCCUGCUCCGGCUGCACUUCCACGACUGCUUCGUCAAUGGGUGCGACGGGUCGGUGCUGCUGGAGUCCGGCGACAACCAGGCGGAGAAGAACGCGCCGCCGAACCGGAGCCUCCGCGGGUUCGAGGUGAUCGACAGGGCCAAGGCGAGGAUCGAGGCCGUUUGCAAGGAGACGGUGUCGUGCGCCGACAUCCUCGCCUACGCGGCCAGGGACAGCGUCAGGGUCGCGACCGGCGGGUACGAGUACAAGGUCCCCGGCGGGAGGCCGGACGGCACGGUGUCGCGGGCGAGCAUGGCGAACAGCGACCUCCCUCCUCACAAGCAGCGGAACGUUGACCUGCUGGCGCAGUACUUCUUCAGGAAGGGCCUCUCCAUGGACGACGUGGUGGUCCUGUCGGGCGCGCACACGCUGGGGGUGACGCGGUGCGGCACCUUCGACUACCGGCUGAUGAGCGACCAGGACAAGGGCAUGAACGCCACGUUCAGGAACGAGCUGAGGCGGCAGUGCGGCUACGACGCGAACAGGGUGGUGCCCCUCGACGCCGGCAGCCCCUACGGGUUCGACACCAGCUACUACGCCAACGUGCUCGCCAACCGCACCGUGCUCGAGUCCGACGCCGCGCUCAACUCGCCCCGGACCGUGGCCAGGGUCAGGGAUCUCAGGGCCGCCGCGCCGUCCGCCUUCUUCAGCAGCUUCGCGGUUGCCAUGGGGAGAAUGGGCGCCAUCCGCGGCGGCAACCCUGGAAAGGUCCGCGUUAACUGUAGGAGGGCCAGGACGUGA